GGUGGGGUUCACGAGCGGCCAAAGGGAGCAGACUGUAAAUCUGCCGUCAUCGACUUCGAAGGUUCGAAUCCUUCCCCCACCACCA
rnacentral:tRNA from 2 species